CAAAGUUUUUAGCGUCUGCACUAUCACCGGACCUAUUCACUAGCGACGCCGGAAAAUAUCGACGGAGCUGUUGCUCCGUACGAUUUGUUUUCCAGUAGAACGAUGAGAGAGAGAGAGAGAGAGAGAGAGAGGUUAAUGGCGGGAAACCGUUCGGGUCACCAUUUUUCUCGGAGAAAAUCUCCUUCCUUCGCUGGCCCCCCCAUCUCUCCCUCUUUCUGAUUCAUGGGCAGCCUACAAGAGGUCCCUUCCCUUUCCCGUUCCAUCUUUUUUUUCUGUUGGGGUUCUCCGUUCUAGUGCUUCAUCGAUUCAUCGAAAAGAGUCCCCACAUUGUCUGAUGACUGGAUGCGCAUUGGCAUUUGCUCUUUCAGAACAAUAUAUGAAAUUAUAAACCCUCUUGGUCGAGGAAGCAAUGUUUUCAAGAAAGGGUAGCAAAAUGAAGGAGGAAGAGAGGACAGAAAGGGCUAUAAGGAGCCUCCUAAAGCUUCCCGAGAAUCGAAGAUGCAUCAAUUGCAACAGUCUGGGUCCACAAUAUGUGUGCACAACCUUCUGGACUUUUGUCUGCACAAACUGUAGCGGAAUCCAGUAAGUCGUUUCUGCUCUC